rnacentral:rRNA from 1 species
GAUGAACGCUGGCGGCGUGCUUAACACAUGCAAGUCGAACGGAAAGGCCCAAGCUUGCUUGGGUACUCGAGUGGCGAACGGGUGAGUAACACGUGGGUGAUCUGCCCUGCACUUCGGGAUAAGCCUGGGAAACUGGGUCUAAUACCGGAUAGGACCACGUCUUGGAUGUUGUGGUGGAAAGUUUUUUCGGUGUGGGAUGAGCUCGCGGCCUAUCAGCUUGUUGGUGGGGUAAUGGCCUACCAAGGCGUCGACGGGUAGCCGGCCUGAGAGGGUGUACGGCCAUAUUGGGACUGAGAUAAGGCCCAGGCUCCUAAGGGAGGGAGGAGUGGGGGAUAUUGCACAAUGGGGGGAAACCUGAUGCAGCGACGCCGGGUGGGGGAUGACGGCCUUCAGGUUGUAAACUCCUUUCGCUAGGGACGAAGCGGUUUUGUGACGGUACCUGGAGAAGAAGCACCGGCUAACUACGUG